rnacentral:rRNA from 1 species
AUCGAUUCGCGGCCUAUCAGCUUGUUGGUGGGGUAACGGCCUACCAAGGCAGCGACGGGUAGCUGGUCUGAGAGGAUGUCCAGCCACACUGGGACUGAGACACGGCCCAGACUCCUACGGGAGGCAGCAGUGGGGAAUCUUGCGCAAUGGGCGAAAGCCUGACGCAGCGACGCCGCGUGCGGGAUGAAGGCCUUCGGGUUGUAAACCGCUUUCAGCAGGGACGAUUGUGACGGUACCUGCAGAAGAAGCCCCGGCCAACUACGUGCCAGCAGCCGCGGUAAUACGUAGGGGGCGAGCGUUGUCCGGAUUUAUUGGGCGUAAAGAGCCCGUAGGCGGUUUGGUGAGUCGGGUGUGAAAUCUCCACGCUCAACGUGGAGGGGCCACCCGAUACUGCCAUGACUGGAGUCCGGUAGAGGAGUGUGGAAUUCCCGGUGUAGCGGUGAAAUGCGCAGAUAUCGGGAGGAACACCCGUAGCGAAGGCGGCACUCUGGGCCGGUACUGACGCUGAGGAGCGAAAGCGUGGGAGCAAACAGGAUUAGAUACCCUGGUAGUCCACGCCGUAAACGUUGGGCACUAGGUGUGGGGCUCUAUCGACGGGUUCCGUGCCGCAGCUAACGCAUUAAGUGCCCCGCCUGGGGAGUACGGA